UAUGCUUAAGCGGGGGAUCAAAUUCAGAACCUCAUAUUUUCUGCGUGAACGCUCAGAGUUGCAAUGUGAAGGGCAAAAAUUAAAAACCAGCAAUAUGGGGGUAAAAUUUAAAGAUCACAAAAAUGAGGGGCAAAAUUUAAAGACCAUCUCAAAAGGAGGGCAAUCUGCGCAAAAAAAUGUAUUAUUAUACUAGGAGUAUCUAAGAAGAGUGAACACAGAGAUUUUGUAACAAAUGCAGAAUUCUUUUCUGAAAAUAUGGGCCCAACUAAAGCUUUCAUUGCACAUCUAUUAAAUUUUUUGUUUUGAUAAUUGGAAGUUUGGAACCAGUGGCACGUGAUAUUUAAUAACAGUGUCUAAUUAGUGUAUAUUUAUAGAUUUCAUCCUGUCAUCAACUCUUCGAACACAUGAUUGUACGUAAAUGAAUCCAAAUAUUUAGGUUUAGUCUAUUUCUAUAUACUUUUAAACAAAUGUAAUAAUCUCUUAAUUUGUGGCAUCAUAUAUUUAAAUAUUAAUCAGUGAAUUAAAGUGAAAAUUUAAAACUCCAGUCUUAAAAUUCCUAGAAGCUCAAAGCUCACAAAAGAAAUUUGUGAUAUGUAAAUGAUUGUCAUCUAUCUAUUAUUAAAAGCCAAGCCACAAUAAGCCAAGUGGCAUAAUGAGAGAAAGCCACAUGAAACUAAUUAACUAUAAUUAAUUCAGCCAUGUGUCAUCAUCAGAAAAACCACUUGUAACUUUUAAAUAAAAAAAUAAUAAAUAUAUUUAUAUUUUUUAAGAUUUUAUUUAUUUAUUUAAACCUAUUCUGCUUACCACAAAAGGAGAAAUAAACAUAAACAAUAACAAAAGCAAAAACAAUAACAAAAACUCUCAUAUAUGGGAGUUUAAACGGUACAUCAUGUUACAUGUCUUUUGUAACCGACACUUAAUUUCUCAAUUCAAGGUUUCUUCUUCGACUGAACAUUUGAACCUUCUUCUCCACCAGGUUUUUUCCUUUCUUAUGUCUCCCAAUGGCUGCAAACGUAUAAUUUCUUACUCUCCUUCUAAUCAUAUAUAGAUAUGUGCUUAUUUACGGGUUUGUGUCUAUCUGAACGGAUGAAGUGAAAAGCAAAGGCUAGAAGAUCAAAUCAGAUUUCAAUUUUAGUCUGUCGAGGUUUCAAUUUUUGUUUCUUUCUUUGUUGUAACCAGUUUGAUGUUCAUUUGUUAGCAGUCCAUUCUGCUAUAUUUCUGAACAACAUGUAAGUAUCUGUAGCUAUGUUGUUAUAGUUUUCUGUUAAAUUAGGCUUCAGAUGCUAAAAUUAAGCAAUGGUCACAAGGAAAGAAAUAUUCGCUCAUGCCUCUCAACCUUACAAUAACUAAGAGUGAUGAUAAUUGGAAAUUUUAUAGAAUUUGUUUCUGUUGUUAUAUUUGUGGAAUGCAAAAGGAUCGGCAGGAUGGCUAAUUCUUAAAACAUAAUCAUACUUAAAUAGUUUUUGUUGCCCGAGAGCGGAUGGAAGCCUAUAGCCUUAGUGGAUUUAAUUGAAGAAAAAUCAAGUGAAGAGAGCGUUACUCUAUAUACAUCCAGAUAAGAUCCAACAAAAGGGUCUUGCUGUGGCAAGGAAUAAUCGCAGAAAAAGUUUUUGAUAUUCUGCAGAGAAGUUAGUCUGGAAAAUUCAGUUGUUAGCUGCGGUGUGUUUUUAGCUUGCUAUCAAGAUAGAAGAAAUUGAUGCUCUAUCGACUAUCUAUUUGCAGGUAACUGAAAUUUAUCACCAAGUCGUAUGCUUUCUCUAUUUGUUAUGAGUUUUGGACCGAGACUGAGUUCCCCGCCGAAUAUCUUUGGAAACGCUUUGGGAUUUGCAGAGAAGUUAGUCUGGAAAAUUAAGUUGUUAGCUGUGGCGUGUUCUUAGCUUCCUAUCAAGAUAGAAGAAAUUGAUGCUCUAUCGACUAUCGAUUUGCAGAAAAGGAAGACAAAAAUAUAAGCAAAAUCAGCAGACUGAUACUGAUAUGACAAUAUAUGAAGGUGUUGGAUACAUUUACUAUGCAGAUGAUCAUUGUAUAAGCCAGCUGUUUUCCAGUACUUUGCAAAGUUCUUUUUCACCCAUUUCAUGAGCUCGAUCACAUAAUCACCCUUAAUAUUAUUGGGCAUAUGAUCGUGCUGCGAUUGAAUUUAGAAGACUGGAUGCAGAUAUCAAUUUCAAUGUCAGUUAUUACCAUGAUGAUCUAAUGCACUUUCACAAAAAUUAUUUUUGGGCAAUUGGUGGUGUUUUAGACUAUCUACUACAUACUAAGGAGCAUGGAUAGAUGAAAGGGGGAUGAUCUUCUGGCGGGUAUGCUUCUAAUCAGAAGCUAUCUUGCAGAAGCACCAGAUGCAUGUAAAGAUAAGGUCACAGAACUCCUAGGCUAUAUACUUUCAAUUGAAGGAGAAGAUGAAUUGAGUCCUUUUUAUUCCAUCUGUUUUUUUGCUUCCGAUAAUGUGUUGAGUAACUCUCAAGACCAGAGGACGUAAAAUUUUAGCUUCCUCAGGUGCAUUUAGAGAAGUUGGUUGCCUCAUUGCUUUGAUUGGACAAAACAGUUAUACAUCUGAGGAUCAUUGUUCUAUAUUCUUGGCUUGCAAUACAAUUUCGAAUCUUCUUCUAAAACGGGAAC